UACAGAGGUCCCGAGCGUUGUUCGGAUUUAUUGGGCGUAAAGGGUGCGUAGGCGGCGGAGUAAGUUGGGUGUGAGAUCCCGGGGCUCAACCUCGGAAUGGCAUUCAAUACUGCUUCGCUAGAGUACUGGAGAGGAGGCUGGAAUUUACGGUGUAGCAGUGGAAUGCGUAGACAUCGUAAGGAAGGCCGGUGGCGAAAGCGAGCCUCUGGACAGUUACUGACGCUGAUGCACGAAGGCCAGGGGAGCAAACGGG
rnacentral:rRNA from 1 species